rnacentral:rRNA from 1 species
GGCCGCGGGAAUUCGAUUCAGGCCUAACACAUGCAAGUCGAGCGGGGUUUUCGGACCUAGCGGCGGACGGGUGAGUAAUGCGUAGGAAGCUACCCGAUAGAGGGGGAUACCAGUUGGAAACGACUGUUAAUACCGCAUAAUGUCUACGGACCAAAGUGUGGGACCUUCGGGCCACAUGCUAUCGGAUGCGCCUACGUGGGAUUAGCUAGUUGGUGAGGUAAUGGCUCACCAAGGCGACGAUCCCUAGCUGGUUUGAGAGGAUGAUCAGCCACACUGGAACUGAGACACGGUCCAGACUCCUACGGGAGGCAGCAGUGGGGAAUAUUGGACAAUGGGCGCAAGCCUGAUCCAGCCAUGCCGCGUGUGUGAAGAAGGCCUUCGGGUUGUAAAGCACUUGCAGUGGGGAGGAAGAGUUGAGUGUUAAUAGUACUCAGCUUUGACGUACCUACAG